UACGGGGGGGGCAAGCGUUGUUCGGAAUUACUGGGCGUAAAGGGCGCGUAGGCGGUUGGAUAAGUCAGCUGUGAAAACCACGGGCUUAACUCGUGGCCUGCAGUUGAGACUGUCUGGCUUGAGUGUGGGAGAGGAGAGUGGAAUUCCUGGUGUAACGGUGAAAUGCGUAGAUAUCAGGAGGAACACCGGUGGCGAAGGCGGCUCUCUGGACCACAACUGACGCUGAGGCGCGAAAGCUAGGGGAGCAAACAGG
rnacentral:rRNA from 1 species